rnacentral:lncRNA from 1 species
GUCCUAUUUGUUUUUGUAUGUCGCCUAGUAUUUUAACCUUUAAACUUAAGGGUUCCACCUAGUUCCUACCUCAUAGGAAGAGCGAUCCUAAAUGCCCUCUAUGAUCUAUAGGAUGGGACGGGUAAUAGCAUGAAAUAAGUAUUCAUGACCAAUUCACACACUUAAAUAACCUCAACGGGGUGGGAAGGGUAGAAUAUGGAGAUGAUGACGAUGCGAUAAUAUCCGCGUUUAAAUACCUUAACGGGGUGGCAAGGGUAGAAUAUGGAGAUGAUGACGAUGUGAUAAUAUCAUAAAGUGACCCCUCUUUGGGAGUAUAUGAGGGAUAUUGCAUCAAAUGAUCCAUAUUACAAUUAAACCUAGGACCCUUCUCUUUUUUGUUUGCUCUAUUUAAAUGUUCCUUUAUAAUAAUGUUUUUUUCAAAUAGAGCCUCUCUUUUAAUUUAAAUUUACGUCCUUCCUUUUCUUUAAAAGCUUUUUCAAGUUGUGUGAAUGUUAUAUGUGUGAACCUUACAUGUUUAAUUGCUUCAUCUUUUUAUAAAGUCACGAUUAACACGACCGGAAACCACACUAGCGGAUCUUGAGGGGUGCCUAACACCUUCCCUUCGAGAUAAUCUCAAGCUCUUACCCGAACUCUAGUUUUCUUAUCAAAAUACUCUCUCAUAAGUGUCCUAAUGCACUAUAAUCAUUAGGUGGUGACUCUUCAAAUUCCAUAACAUAAUUCUCAAAUGGGAAAUAGAGUUGUUUUGCCCAUAAUGUCGUAAAACCCGAUUUCGCUUUUUUAGGGAAAAAGGGGGGGGGCAUCGACAGUCACUACAGGGCUGAUUUCCAAGAUGACGAUAGAUCACAUAGGUGUAUGGCUCAGCAUAUGUGGCAUUCCAAACUCAUCUUGGAAAAGGAAUCUAUGGAACCAGAUAGGUAUCGGGCAGGGCAUGCACCGGUUUAUCUAGCAUGGAUAGAAGAUGACCACAUCGGCUUGGGAAAAACAGGUUUCUUCCAUGGUCACAAGGUUAUUGAUGAGAAGACUACCGUAAAGGUCAAGUACAAUCAGCUACACAAACGGAUGCAAGAGUGCAAAAGUGAGCAUCGGGAAAUACUAGAGGCCCAAGAGAAGCUAAUCAGUGAAUGGAAGGACAUGUCUAUCCACACAAACGUUCAUCUAGGGUACUUAGAGCGACGUCUACUGGAGCUGGAAGGCAAAUUUCUAAGAAGGAACAACGACGGUCAGGAAGCUGAAGGUAGCGAAGGUGGGAACUUUGCUCGGGCUUACUUGUUGCUGGGACUGCACGAGUUGAUGCAGCUGUAUGUGGGAGGCAAAGAUACCGAAUCCGGGGAAGGUCUUUCUGGGACUAAGUAGUUAGGAGUUUUACUUCUUUCCUGAUGUAAUAAGGCCACUGGCCAUUAGUGACAAUUUCUCUUUAUUUCGGUUUGUUUUUGACUAGUUCUAUUUUUGCUAUCGAUAAAAUGAGGCACUUGGUGUUAUAAGUUCUACAAAUUUUAUUUGUCGCUAAGACUACCUCGGGCACAACAAGGCACACAAAUAGGGAACGACUUAUAUUCUUGCAACAAUGUGUUCAAAUACCGCACUAUUUUUUCUUUCUCAGAAUCCACACUAUUUUGUUUUUCUUUUAUUUUUAUUCCCCUACCCAAAUGUUAGUUCGUGCAUUUUGGCACCAUCAUCAUACUCAAAAAGAUCAAAGGGUCCUCUACCUCCUCCUCCUCCUCCUCCUCCUCCCAUAAACAGGAACAAGAACAAAAUGGAAGAUACCAAUGCUAGAAAGGAAGUCGGAGAGGCUUCAAUCACCCAAGAAACUGGUGCUCAUCUUGAGAAAACUUUGCUGAGGCUUCGAGAAGAGUUAGAACAAGUCCGGAACUUGGGGAGUCUGUCGAUCCCUCUUGCUGCUGCUGAUGCCAACAAAUCACCACCGGCCCAUCCUGCUCAAACACAAGUCUGCGACAAAGGCAACAAUGCUCCACUGCUUAUCCCAGAUCCCCAAAACACCAGAGAUAACCAGAAUGCUCCUAUCUUUGUGGAUAUUGUACCACAUUACGACCAUCCAGUCACCAAUGUAGCCGAGUUAGACGAUAAAAGCUCCCUCAUUCAGAAUUUGGCUGCUGAGAUUAAGAAGUUGACUAAUCGACUUCAAGAUUUCGAAGGUAACAAGGGUGUUGAAGGGUUGAAUUAUGAAGAUCUCCGUGUCAACCAAAUGUUGAUCUCCCGGAGAUGUACAAAGCUCCCAAGUUCGAAUUGUUCGACGGUACCGGGGAUCCUAGGGUUCACUUGAGGAUGUAUUGUGACAAGCUAGUAGGAGUCAGGAGGGAUGAAAAGAUCUGUAUGAAGCUAUUUAUGAGGAGUUUGAAGGGUGAUGCCUUAUCCUGUUAUAUUAGCCAGGACACGAAGAAAUAGACGAAUUGGGUGAACAUGGCAUCCGAUUUGAUGGACCAUUUCAGGUUCAACAUUAAGAAUGCACCAGACAUGUUAUAUAUCCAAAAUCUUAAGAAUAAGCCUACGGAGACCUUUCGCGAGUAUGCUACUCGUUGGAGGUGGAAGCCACUAAGGUCAGACCAGCCUUGGAGGAAGAACAAACUAACAGAUUCUUUGUCCGCGCUCAAGAUCCACAAUACUACAAAAUAUUGAUGCUAAUUGAGGGUCAAAAGUUCUCCGAUAUCUUCAAAUUGGGAGAAAGGAUUGAAGAAGGCAUUAAGAACGGUAUGGUCACUAACCAAGAGGCAUUGCAAGCCACCAACAAGGCUCUACAAUCUGGUGGCUCGACAAAGAAGAAAGAGGUAAAUUCUGUAAUGGCUGCGCAAAGAAACAACUCUCCCAUGAAGUACCAAACCUACCCUUAGCUCCACUCACAUACCCACCUACCCAAAUUACCCAACACCACCUACCUACCUACCAAAUUCAACCACCUUCUUACCAAUCACCUCCACCACCCACAUAUCAACCCACUUCACCCCGAUAUUUCCAACUUGCACUCGUAUACCAAGCAUAUAAUUCCCAACCUUCUCACUACCCAUCACCACCUACCCGCCAAAAUUUCCCUCGACCUAGACCAAAUUUUGACAGCAAACCCCCUAGACAAUACACCGCCAUAGCCGAGCCGAUUGACCAAUUGUAUGAGAAACUCAAAGCAGCGGGUUACGUCACCCCUAUCCGAGUUGUAACUCUAGAAAACACUUCCCAGUGGAUUAACCCAAACAAGACUUGUGCAUACCAUUCCGGGAUAAAGGGCCAUACCAUUGACGAAUGCCGCUCGUUAAACGACAAAAUUCAGAACCUGAUUGACAACAAGAUUAUAGCAAAAGAGCCCACUCCUAAUAUCCACAACAACCCUCUACCUGAUCACAAGGGUGGAUGCAUCCACAUGAUUGAGAUCCAAGAUAAUUGGAACCCCAAUGGGUCAGUUGGUUUAAUAGCUGAAGGAGAUGAGCCAAAGAAGCCGAUGGUUACUCUCAACCCUAUUAUUGUAUAAAUCCAACCGUCUGAGGGCGACGUGGUAAAUAUAUCCAUGCCACUCGAAUUUGAAUUACCUUCCGGAAAGACACCAAAAUCGAUCGAGGUUGUGUUCAGAGCUCCGAAACCACUAACACCAUUUGAAGCUGUUCUGUUGCCUCUUAAAGGACCUAUUCAAGUCUCUAUGACAGACAUGACCCCAUUCCAAACAAAUGCUAUACCUUGGGACUACACAGCCGAGGUUAGAAGGAAAGGAAAGACACGCAUUGGAGAGGCAACUGUUGCGCAAGGCAUGACUAGGACAGGCAAGGCUUACACCCCAGAACAAUUUGUUGAGUCUAGCAAUAAAGCUUCCGAGCGAGCUGUUGAAACUGGAUCUGAUGACCUAUGGAGAAAGGUACAAGCAAUGGAAUAUUCAGUCGUUGAGCAGCUAAACAAGACUCCGGCACAAAUCUCCAUCUUGUCACUCAUGCAGAGUUCCCAGGCACAUAAAAAUUCCUUGAUGAAGAUACUAAGUAAAGCUUAUGUUCCCAGCAACAUAACAUGAGGCGAAAUGGCAAACAUGGUGGAACUAAUACUGGAAAGCCAUAAGAUCACCUUCCACAAAGAUGAAUUGCCACCAGAAGGGCUUGGUCACAACAAAGCAUUGUACAUCACUGCGCAAUGUGAGGAUCAUUUUAUCACCAAGAUUCUAGUCGACGGGGCAUCCAGCCUCAACAUUUGUCCGCUGGUGACUCUCAGGACAUUGGGCAAAGGGUUGCACGAGAUCAAAGACAAGGCCAUCCAUUUUAAAGAUUUCGAUGGUUCUCAGAGGUCCACCAUUGGAGAAAUCAUUUUGUGCCUGCAGAUGGGGCCUACCUGGUUCGAUGUUGAGUUCCAAGUCAUUGACGUACCAGCAUCCUACAAUUUAUUGCUACGACAAACUUAGAUCUACGUCGCUGGGGAUGUGGCAUCAAUAUUGCAUCAAGCCGUGAAAUUUGUCUAGAAUCAUCAAGAAGCAAUAAUUCAUGGUGACGGUAGCAGCCCCAUAUACAGUCGUCAGGCCAUCCCAAUGAUUGAAUGAAGAAGGAGAAUAGGGGAGAAACAUACCAUCACAUCUAACGAGUCAAUGACAUAGACAAUAAUAAGUGGUGGAAUAGCAAAAUCGAGAGCAUUCUGAAUUGGAUCGGAUACGACCCCGGAAAGGGGCUUGGCAAGAAUCUCAAGGGUAUCAUUAAGCCCAUCCAUUUGAAGAAGCAUGGGACCACUUUUGGUAUCGGUUACGAAUACACUUGGGAGGAGUUGCAGCAUUGGUCGCCCCCAUGGCGCAGUCCGUACCGCUCGCUGGAGCACCCUCUACGUUAAUUAGAGCAGACUUUUCAGCCCGCUGAUGCAAUAUCAGAGGAAGGUGAGAUGCUGGCAGCCAUGAGAACCUGUUUCUGGAGGAGGAUAUGGAUUGUUGUGUUACCUUCAAGGAGGAAGGACCUUCCAUUCAAGAUGUGAACCGAGGGGAGUGCCUCACCAAUUGGUCAAUUAGGACCACCAGUGCCCGUAGAGUCUCGGGGUAGCAAGGCUAAAUGACACAUAUGCAUCGCACUUUACUUUUGGUUGAAUUUUACUUUUCUGCAUUAUCUUUACUUUUAAAAAGAGCUCCAAUAUUUCAGACAAUUAUGAAUUUAAAUAAAGCAUUUUCCAAGUUUAUCUUUAUAUUUCGAUCUCAUUUAUUUUCUCUACCAUUUACUUUAUUUUCUACAGCACUUCUAUUACAUAUCUUGAUGAUGAACCCAUGACUGUAACUUGCAACGAGACCAUGCGACAAACGGACAUAGAUUUAGAAGGGAUGAAAUACCAGAAGAGGUUGUUAAAGAGGUCAAAAAUUUUGAGAACAGACCUAAGUCUCAUCUAGACGAAACCGAGGUCAUUAAUCUUGGAGAUGCAGAAAAUACCAAGGAACACGAAUCAGUAUGAACUUGUCAUCAUCUGAAAAGGAAGAAUACACAAAAUUUUGAAAGAGUAUGAGGAAAUAUUCUCCUGGUCGUAUGAUGACAUGACCGACCUCAGCAUGUCCAUUGUGGCUCAAAAGUUUCCGACAGACCCGUCAUGCCCACCGAUCAAGCAGAAACUCAGAAAAUUCAAGCCAGAUAUGAGUUUGAAAAUCAAAGAAGAAGUCACAAAGCAAGUCAAAGACAGGGUUCUUAGUGUGGUAGAGUAUCCAACAUGGUUAGCCAACAUUGUGCCGGUGCCAAAGAAGGAUAGGAAGGUUAGAGUCUGUGCCAACUACCGGGAUCUCAAUCGGGCUAGUCCUAAAGAUGACUUUCGUUUUCCUAAUAUACACAUAUUGAUCGACAACUGUGCCAAUCAUGAGAUGUAGUCGUUCAUCGAAUGUUUUCCUGGGUACCAUCAGAUAUGGAUGGAUAAAGAAGAUGCAGAGAAAACAACGUUUAUCUUGUCAUGGGUGAUGUAUUUCUAUAGAAUGAUGCCAUUUGGGUUAAAAACGUAGGGGCUACUUACAUAAUGGACAUGAAUACCCUCUUUCACGAUAUGAUACAUAAGGAAAUUGAAGUUUAUGUGGAUGACAUCAUCAUCAAGUCUAUGAAAGCUGCAGAUCACAUGGAGGACUUGCAAAAGUUUUUCAAUAGAUUAAGGAGGUAUAAUUUGAAACUGAAUCUCGCCAAGUGUGCAUUCGGGGUUCCUGCUGGAAAGUUAUUGUGUUUUAUUGUGAGUCUUCGUGGGAUAGAGAUGGAUCCCUCGAAGGUCAAAUCUAUUCAGGAGUUGCCAUCGCCAAAGAACAAGAAGGAUGUGAUUAGUUUCCUCGGAAAACUCAAUUAUAUCAGCCAGUUCAUAGCUCAGUACACGUCAUCUCCAAACCUAUCUUCAAGAUGCUGAAGAAGGAUGUUGCCACCAAAUGGACCGAUGAAUGUCAAAAGGCUUUUGACAGGAUGAAGGAAUACUUGUCUAGGCUGCAAGUCCUAGUUCCGCUUGAGUCAGGGAAACCUCUGUUUCUUUAUCUUGCAGUAUUGGAUGGGGAAUUCGGUUGUGUUUUCGGACAACAUGACGAAACAGGAAGGAAGGAGCAGACCAUCUACUACCUCAUCAAGAAGUUUACCCCUUACGAGGCUCGGUAUUCCUUACUAGAAGUACCAGUUGUGCUUUGACCUAGGUAGCUCAAAAAUUGAGGCAUUAUUUCGGUGCUUACACUACUUAUCUCAUAUCAAGGAUGUAUCCACUGAAGUAUAUUUUCCAGAAGCCCAUGUCCAAUGGCAAGCCCGCCAAGUGGAAAAUCUUGUUGAGUGAAUUUGACAUUGUUUAUGCCACCCAGAAGGAAGUUAACGGACAGUCUUUAGCAGAUCAUCUCGCCAAAAUCCUGUAGAAGGGGUGUAUGAACCACUAAAACGUGUUUUUCCGACGAGGAGGUAGCUUUUGUAGGAGAAGACAUUGCAGAAUCCUAUGACGGUUGGAGUAUAUUUUUCGACGGAGCCGCAAAUUUUAAAGGAGUUGGCAUAUGAGCGGCUUUGGUAUCGGAAACUGGUCAGCAUUACCCGAUGUCCGCCAAACUCAGGAUCUCGUGCACCAACAAUAUGGUCAAGUAUGAAGCCUACAUCUUGGUGCUUAAACUGGCCAUUGACAUGAACAUUCAGGAAGUGCUAGUGAUCGGAGAUUUGGACCAAGUCAUAGAUCAGGUCCGAGAAGAAUGGAAACCAAAAUUUCCAAGAUACUCCCCUAUCUACAUCAUGUGCAGGAGUUGAGGAAAAGAUUCAGAAAGACGCAGUUCCAUCAUGUUCCCAGAACACAGAACGAGUUCGCUGAUGCAUUAGCCACUUUAUCAUCCAUGAUCCAACAUCCGGAUACAAAUUUUAUUGAUCCUAUUCCGGUCAAGAUUCACUACCAGCCGACUUAUUGUGCUCACAUCGAGAAAGAAGCCAAUGGACAACCUUGGUGCCACGACAUCAGGUAGCACUUGACAACGAGAGGGUACCCAGAGCUUUCCAAUACUACUCAGAAACAAACACUUCGGAGGUUGUCCAAUAAUUUCUCUCACAGCGGAGGAAUCCUGUAUAUGAGGACUCCUGAUCUGUGAUUAUUAAGGUGUGUCGAGGCAAAUGAAGCAAGCAGACUAUUGGAGGAAGUACAUGCUGGGACUUGUGGACCAAAUAUGAAUGGUUUCGUUUUGGAAAAGAAGAUACUUCGAGUACCAAUUGGUCCAGCUGCGUCAAAUGGGCACAAGUUCAUCCUAGUGGCAAUCGAUUACUUUACAAAAUGAGUCGAAGCAGCAUCAUACAAGGCGGUCACCAAGAAGGUAGUCGCAGACUUCGUCAGAGAUCGUAUGGUUUGUCGGUUCAGGGUUCCCGAAUCAAUCAUCAUCGAUAAUGGCUCUAACCUCAACAUCGACCUAAUAAAAGCAAUGUGUGAAAAAUUCAAAGUCAGACAUAAGAACUCUACAACUUACAGACCUCAGAUGAACGGAGCGGUGGAAGCAACCAAUAAGAACAUAAAGCAAAUACCAAGGAAAAUGAUUGAAAAGCACAAGCAGUGGCAUGAGAAGUUGUCGUUCGCUUUAUUGGGUUACCGCACCAUGGUCCGCACAUCAACUGGGGCCACUCCUUACAUGAUGGUUUAUGGAAUAGAGGCGGUCAUUCCCGCCGAGGUACAACUCCAAUCCUUAAGGGUUAUACAAGAAGCUAAAUUAGAUGUCGUGGAAUGGAUCAAGAGUCUCUACGAGUAGUUAGCCCUCAUUGACGAAAAGAGAAUGAACACUGUCUAUCAUGGUCAACAACAACAACAACAACUACCCAGUCAAUUAUAUCAUAAUAGAAUGUCCAGAGCCUUCAACAAGAGAGUUCGACCAAGGAAGUUUACACCANNNNNNNNNNNNNNNNNNNNNNNNNNNNNNNNNNNNNNNNNNNNNNNNNNNNNNNNNNNNNNNNNNNNNNNNNNNNNNNNNNNNNNNNNNNNNNNCCGUUGAAGAAGAUAUUCCCACAUCAAGAUGAAGCCAAAUGGAAAUUCUCUCCCAACUGGCAGGGUACGUACAUGGUUCACCGUUUUUGACUGGAGGAGCCUCAUCCUUGCAGAAAUGGACGGAGAAGUUUGGCCAAAACCAAUCAACUCGAAUGCCGUGAAAAGACACUACAUUUAACCAUCACGUUUCUCCCUGAUGUAAUUUGAACUACGCCUGACCUGAUUCCUGUUUAAGAGGGGAUACGUAGGCAUCCCUAUGGGUUCGGUCACAUCUUUAAUAAAAAUCCAUUUUCCCCCGCAUUUGGAACUAGGGCAGAAUUUUGAGGAGGACCCUCAAAAUUCUGAAGUCAGUUUGCCAACUUUCGUAUCAGCAUCGACCCAGUAAAGUGCGGCAGAAUUUUGAGGAGGACCCUUAAAAUUCCCGAGCCAACAAGGUCCUUUGCCUCAGCAUCGACCCAGUAAACUGGGGCAUAAAUUUAAGGAAGACCCUAAAAAUUCUAAAGUGUUCCGUUUUCAGUCAUUCAGCACUGCCGUUAACAGCGCCAGCUCAGUAAAUUGGGGCAAAAUUUGAGGAGGAUCCUCAAAAUUUUGGAACAAGCAAGUUUGCCGUUUCUCAAACCACGUUGCAGUUGUUCGUUCAUCAUAAGACAAAAAUUAUUCUUCUAUUUACAUAUAUAUACAUUUGCACCAUGUUUGCAAAAUCUUUUGCAUAAAAUCAUUCAGAUAAAUAUCGUUCAGCAACGCUACCCCAAACGGCACGGGACGUCACGAGCCGAGAGAUAUGAACUAACCCCCCUUUGCAGAACUCACGAUUUUUCUAUGGAUGCAUGAAUUCAGGACACAAAUGGGUGACACAUGUGCCUUACAGGACCGAAGCCCCAAAAAAACUACUUAAUUCACAAAAAGUUUACUACUUAUAUCCAACAUUCCCCCAGCAGUCAUGAUAUCGCAAUCGUCUACCAGCUAAGAAAAUCAUUACUAUCUCCUCCUUUACGUUUAUGCAUUACAUAAGGCUAUUCUCUGCCUUUUGGUCCUAAGCUCGGUCUCCAUCCUGCAUUGGAUAAGGCUAUUCUAUGUCUUUCGAGACUAAGCUCUGUCUCCAUCCAUCUUGCAUAAGGCUAUUCUUUGCCUUCCGAGGUUAAGCUCUACUUCCAUCCUGCAUAAGGCUAUCCUCUUCAUUUCGCGACUAAGCUCUGUCUCCAUCCUGUAUUGCAUAAGGCUAUUCUCUGCCUUCUGAUGUUAAGCUCUACCUCCAUCCUACACAAGGCUAUUCGCUGCCUUUACAGACUAAGCUCUGUCUCCAUAUUGCAUUUUUGCAUAAGGCUAUUCUCUACGUUCUGAGGUUAAGUGCUACCUCCAUCCCACAUAAGGCUAUUCAUUGCCUUUCGAAACUAAGCUCUGUCUCCAUCUUGCGUUGCAUAAGGCUAUUCUCUGCCUUCCGAGGUUAAGCUCUACGUCUAUCCUGCACAAGGCUAUUUGCUGCCUUUCGAGACUAAGUUCUGUCUCCUUCCGAGGUUAAGCUAUACCUAUCUUAUUUUGAAUUUGGUUGAAAAAUCGCCACCCUAUUUUUCAUUUGGCUGAAAUAUCGCCACCCUUCGUUUUAAAUUCUUGCUCGACUGAAACAUCACCACCCUUGCAUUCAUUCGACUGAAAUAUUGCCACCUUCUCAUGGGCUGAAAUACCGCCAACUUAUUCAAUGGCGUCAUAGUUCGGAGGCAACAUCCGCAUAGCCCGAGAACACCAUUUCAUGGCCUGCGGAUCUUUACUUUUAUGCUCUUCAUAGCCCAGGACGUCAUAGUCUGAGGAUGCCAUCCUAAUCGUCUGAAUACAGCAUUCACGGUCCAAUGGGAACUUGCAUCAUAUUUAAAUUACGCAAUAUAUACGCACAUCGACUCGUUGUAGGUACACCAGCUCGCUCACGACCGUCUCAGCAGGAGCGAUCCUGCUCCAGUUCUCCGCAGCCUGUCCAAUCUCCAAACUCCUAUCACAUCUCAAACCCCGUUCCGACCAUCUUUUCCGAACCGCCAUCGGCAUAUCUCGCCAAUGGUUCCUGAACUACAUAUGGCCUGAUUCCUCUAAAACCAAGGAUAUGUAGGCAGCAUAGAAACCAUAACACGGUCAAAAUUCUCUUAUAGUCGCCAUCUCCGGUCAAAAUUUGUCAUGUUGUCUUUACGACAACUCUUUCAUCCUCCUCGGGUAAAAAAGGGCCAUUGUUGAUACCAAAUUUUUCCCUAUAUAUUUCUUGCACCCAAAAUGCUUUCACAAUAGUAUAUGUAUGCAUAUAUAAGUAUUUUGGUAUUUUUUCUUAAUUUUUAAAUCAAUUUAAUGACUAUUUUUGACAAUAUAAAGGCCAAAAUUAUUUCCAAAUUAUUGCUUUUAGUGCACAAUGUGUUUCAUUCUCAUAUUUACAACAAGACAUAAUUUAUGUAAUGUUUGCAUAUUUUUUACAAAUUUAUUUAGAUUUUUUAAAAGCUAAUUGCACAAAAUUGCAAUUGUGGCAUGUUUUGCAAUUUGCUAUGUUUUAUAGCUAUAAUAAAAAUUUUCUAAUAGUGUUGGAUUAAUAUUUAUAUUUUAUUAAGUAGUUGUAUACUUUAAAAUUUUCUUUUAAAACUAUUUUAGCUAUUUUAUUAAAUUAAUUUGGAAAAAGAGGCUAAUUAAAUUAUAGCUAGAUUUUAUUUAAACCAUGGUCCCAAUUCAACCCCCACGUUAGCCUAAUUUUUUAACCCAAUUUAAAAACAUAAUUUUCCAAAUAACCCGGCCCAGACCCAUUUAAACAAACCCGCGCGGACCCCUCUUUAAAUCGUGACCGUUGAUCAUUUAAAUCAACGACCCACAAUAGCCUUUUCCUUUUUUUACUCAAGACCACCCUAACCCUAUUCCCAUUCUCUCAUAUCUUCCGCCCUUGUAUCCCCUUCGUCCCCAAAUGCUCUCAAUCCCUCUCCAAACCUUAGCCCUCUCCGGCUAUUUGCCGGCUUAUCUCACAGGAAAAUACGACUUUCCAGGCCUUGUACAAACUAUGCUCACCCCCACCCCUUCUAUGGCUCCUCUAUUCAAGGAUCAAAACCAGAAAUUGAAGGUCUCAAGUUCAAAAGACUUGCGAUUCGAGUUUUAUGGCUGUUUUUGGCCUCCUUUCGGCGAUCUCUAGCUUUGUGAGUCUGUUCCAGACUCAAAGCCAGUCCUUUCCAGGCCUUCUCAUCUUCUAGGUUUUUCGCUUAAACCCUAAUCCCUCGAGGUUUUCUUGUUUCUCUCUAAGAUCUACUGUUGAUCCGUGCUAUUUUCUAUGAUCUUUAUGUGUUUCUCACAUCUUUUUCGAUUUUUGCUUUCAAAACUGUUCAUCUUCAUAAAACUUAGGGUUUCCGUGAUUUUACUUAUUCUACUGUGAUUCCUUAAAUUAUUUGGCUUUGAUAUAAAUCCUAAUUGUUUUCACUAUGAUUUUUAGGUGUUUUCUUGACUAUAUUGUCUUCUAGGUUUUCAAGUAAAUUCUUUGUUGUUUCUUCUUUCAUAAUACUUCCAUGAAUGUUCGUGUUCUUUGGACUUUCUGAGUUUAUUCUUUGCCUGAUUCCCUAUGCUUUCGUCUGUGAGGAAGAAACCCUAGAUGGGGAUUCUCAGACUACUUGUGUGCGAGUAUUUUUGUUUCCUGUUUAAUUUCAAACCCUAAUCCUCUAAAACUCGUCUCAUGUUUCUGAUUCUUGCUAAGCUUUGCAAGACUUCUUGAUUUCUCACAUAUCUAUGUUCUUCUACUUUGCAUGACUACUCUGCUUAUUUUUAACCUCGCAUGUUUAAGUUUACGCUCCCUUUUAUCGUCAAAUAUUUUUCUCUCUGAACAACCCUAAUUUUUGGGAUUGAUUUUCUAUGAACUUACUUGAUUCUCUCCUUGUCUGAUUUGGACCUAUAUUCCGACUUAAUGCAUUAUUGAGUUCGAAUCCUUGGUUCUUGAUGUACUACGUGAUUAAUUUAUUUUACUUUACCUUAUUUAUCUAACCGUGUAUUUUUAAAAGCUUCUUCUAUGUAUUUACCCUUUAUUACACCAUGUGUCUUAUCUCUUGAACAACCCCAAUUUUGGGGAUUGAUUUUAUAUGAACUUACUUGAUUCUCUCCUUUUCUGAUUUGGACCUAUAUUCUGACUUAAUGCAUUACUGCGUUCCAAUCCCUGAUUGUUGAUUUACUAUGUGAUUAAUUGAUUGUAGUUUUUCCUUAUUUAUCUAACCGUGUAUCUUUAAAGCUUAUCCUAUGUAUUUACCCCUUAUUGCACCAUGAGUUACUGAUUUUCUUUCCUUAAAUAUAACUAUGCCCUCUCCUAUUCAAAUUCUAAUUCCUUAAUUAAAGGAACUCCCAUUUUCUAAUUGAUUCUGAUUGGUAUUGAAUUACAUAUUUGCCUUACUUAUCACUUGUGUUCGAACUAUAAAUACCCUACCCUUUCUCUUCAAAUGACACACAGAGACACGAACAUUUUCACAAGUUCGUACUAUACUAUCUCUCUCUUUACUUCUCUGCUCUUCUCUGUUACUAAGUGUGCUGCUUGUGUAAGCCGGGUGAAAGCCAAGUCUAACUAUAAGAUCCUACUUGUUCUAUUUGGUAUUGCUGUUUGAAACUUGCAACUAGUACGUUCCAUGAUUUAAAUACCACCUCCAAACUAUGUGUUUACUUAUGCUUUUUCAUAUAUCUGUGUAUGCUCUAUUUUCUUACAUCAUGCAAUUGAACUUCAGCAUGUUACACCCCAGCCCCACGCUCCCAUGUCUUUAAUUCUGUUAUAACUAUCUUCCUGCACAUCCCUACCCCAUAUUCCCAUAUGUUUAAUCCUGUUAAGUUUGUUAUAAUUAUCUUCCUGCACAUCUCUUUCCCCAAUACCCCCUAUAGUUUAAUUAUGUUCUGUUUUUAUGCAAAUGCUUUCAUAUUCGAUCCCCUCUCCCCUAACCCCUGUUCAUGUAUGAGAUGUGAUUUAGACUAGGAUGGAACUCCAUUGCUAUUCCUAGUUUAGAAUCACGUUGUUCUCAACCUAUACUCAAAGUAAUCCCACUCCCUUAACCCCCCAUUAUGUGUUGAGAUUUCGACUCAGGUCUGUUGGUGCCCUAAUCAUCAUACAUGCCUAAGUCUGACUUAUUUCAAGUCUGCUUUUUCUUGUUGAACCAUGUAAAGGGCCAGGGGUGUGCCAGUCCCCUUCAUGGCUAGGUAUGACCACCUUUGAAUAGGUUAUCCUCUAAUCCUUCACCUUUACACUCAUUCUUAGUCUCUUAAGUUCUACCCCCUUUGGUAAGCCAUGCCUUGGGACCCUUGAGCUCCCUCUAAUCUCGGAUGCCUUAGGGCUGGUACUUCCACUGCACUAUUCUAUUAUUCUAAGAUAUUCAGGGCUUUAAGCACUAUCGGGAAUCCCUGAGAUUCCUUGGUACUCUGAAAACACCUCGAGUAUGAGAAGGCCUUGGAAUCUGAAAUCUCGAUUUGGUAAAAUUCAUGGGUUGGACAUUAAGGUUGCUUCGAGACUCCCCGGGCCUAUUGUAGUUCUGAUACUGAUGUAGUUAUCUUAUUUUUUAGUCCUUUCUUUCAAGUUUUUUUUUGUAAUAAUUGUGUAAAAGACUUGGGGAUAUUAGUGAAAGGGUGUGGGAAGGGCUUUAUUAUUUCUGCACAAGUCAAAUGGUAGAAAUCAUGCUCGUAGGGUUCUAUGCUUAAAUCAUUUAGAAAGCAUGGCUAUAGGACUUGCAUAUUUUUGUAUUCAAAUGCAUAUAGAAAUCCUGCCUGUAGGACUUGCAUAUUUUCAUAAUCAAAUGCAAAUAGAAAUCCUGCCUAUAGGACUUGCAUAUUUUGUAAUCAAAUGUAUGUAGAAAUCCUGCCUAUAGGACUUGCAUAUUUUGUAAUCAAAUGCAUAUAGAAAUCCUGCCUAUAGGACUUGCAUACGCGAUAGGCAAGUUGUAGGGUUAAACGCUCAAUUAUUCAUUAACAACUUUUAACAUCAUGCCUAUAGGAUUAACUGUCAAACCUGCCUUAUUCGCUUAAUUAAUAACACUCAAACACUGAGCUUUAAUGUUUUUCAAAAAAAUAACGUUUUCGCAAAUUGUUAGAAAUGCAUGCCUGUUAACGUCUCAAGUCUGUGUUUUCCUGCCUUCCAAAAACAAAUUCCUCCCAAAUGAUUUUCAUUCUUUGAAACAAUCUUUAUAAUAAAGUUCCGCCCAAAGUGUUUUCUCUGAAAAUAAUCUGCCUGCAAAUGCUUUUCUUUACCUCUGCAUAAAAGUCACUCAGACUUAACAUUUAUUCAGUUUUCAAACAAUUGUCAACUCGCUUUUUUUUUUUUUUAAAUCUGCUUGUCUUUCUGAAACUUUUCUGCACAUUUUACUUAAACUGUCCAUUACUUUUCAGACCUCUUAUUUCCUCUACUUCUUAUUUUUUUUUGAAGACUCUCCGCCCUUUUAAAAUACGAUAAUUCUUGAUAACAUGCCCGGGGAGCUGAAGCAGAUUUUCUAACCCGUUUUAUGUGUUUAACUAAUCCAUUCGCGAUCAACUUUAAUAUUAAGACCAAACUAAUAUUUGUAAGGCAUGCUACACUACUACCAAAAGGGCAUUUUGCGGCAGUUUUAGUGGCAAUAAGUCGAUUACCGCUAAUAAAUUCUAUAAGCUGAAAUAUUAGCAGCAAAUGACCAUUAGCUAGUAAAAAUUAUCCUUUUACUGGAAAUAAAAAUAAAUUGCCAUUAUCAAUUACUAAUUGACUUUUAGCGAAUAAUUUUUUCUUUUAUUUUAACUUUCCCUCCUAGCCCCAAAAAAAAAUCUUUCCCUCCAAAUUUUUUGGACAAAGAAGGAACGAUUCCCUCUGAUCAGAAAAAAUAGAAAAACUAGGAAAACCUAUUCCUUUGUUGAUCGGGAUAGGAUUAACAGAAUCUGUCAUAUAGGUCUCCGUCUCUGUCGAGUUUUAAUUUUUCACAGAACGGAAGUCACGCGAGAAUAACAUAAUCGCAAUUACAGGACUCCGCCCAGUUUUUUGCCCUAUAGUACUGCUCUUCUUCCCCCAGGUAUCUUCGAUUUUCACCCAGCAGACGAGAUUAACUGCGGAGUUAGGAUUGUGCUGCUCGAUUAUGCUCUAUCUUCGUUGUUAGUAUUCUCUGUUUUAUCCGUUUCCCCCUUCUCUUUUAGUGUAGGCUUCAAGAUCAUUUCAGAACUCACAAUCUGCUUACCAGGUACAAAUUCGUGCCUUCAACUAUUGCGAUUUUAGAUUUGCAAAAGUACAAUAUGAUUGGGUUUAUUCCCUCUCUGUUCCUUUACAGUUUUAUGAUUUUGUUUCUCUAUUUUCUGCUAUUCUUGUAAUUAUUCAGAAAUUUUAUAAGUGUCGCCAAUACAUAUUGAUGUUUUUAUUGAAUCUACCACUAGCUGAGAUAUGAAUUCCUCUUUAUGUUUUAUGUUAUUCUUGUCUUUGUUAAAAGAUUUUAAGAUUCGUCGAUGCAUAUUGGUGUUUUCAUUGAAUCUACCAUUAGCCGAGAUAUAUUCCUAUGUAUAUAUUCUGUUAUAGUUCUCAAAAAGCUACCAAUCAAAUGCAAAGGUCAUGGUUACUAUUUAUUUUGGGUUGAUGCUGCUCGAAUAUGCUCAAUUGUUGCUAUCAAAAUAUAGCUUUUUUGUGUUUGCUAAGUUGUUUGUGAUAUCUCCCUACUUGGUGUUAGAUUGAUAGUCGAUUGAUUGAAUUGAUUCUUCCCCUGAUACUCUAUUGUUGUUUGUUUGUUUGCUGCAUUUUUUGUUGUUUACUCUGAUUGAUAGUUAGUAACUGAUGCUGAGUAAAUCUAACUAUGGCACUAAAAAUUGUAAGUGCUUUUGAAGUUUGAAAAUCUCUCCGGUAGUCACUCUUCUAUUUGGCUAGUCAAUUGUGAUAUAGCGAUAAAAAUCCCUAAAAGAAGAACAACUUAAAGUAAGGUUUUAUGGUACUUUCAACAUGUACUUUUACUGGCAGAGCUCUAAGCUAUUCAAGCUUUCCACUUACAUGGCUACGAGGAUGAGAAAGUAGAUGUUGUUGCAGCUCCAAGACUUUUAUUAUUCUAAAAUUAAGUUCAAAGGGACUUUGAAAUGGAAACUAAGCUGAGUUAAACACUUACAGAAGGCUAUCAUAGCUCAAUUUUUUUGGCAAGACCUUUUAGUUUCUCUUCCUGCAGGAACCACUCCGCUAUAUAAAUAGAACAUUACGCGAUCAACUCCUAUGCUAUAUAUUUACUUUGGUAAUUGUAGGGCUUGGGACCUAAAACCACACCAAUAAAUAAGGCGAGAAUGCGCACUAAAGAAUCAUGUAUAAUGAAGACACCUUGGUCAGAUGGUGAUCAGAUGUCUAUCACUUUCCGAUUUUGAUAUGAUUCUUGUUGCUUUAAGAAUUCCUUACUCCUUGGUCAAGUUCAUUUAGCCCUUCUCCGGCUUCUUUUGGCAGAUGUUGAAAUUCAACGAGUGGAUUAAUUCAUCAAGCAAGCAGAAAGUACAAUUUCUUGGGAUUGGUUCACUCAGUGAGUCUACUUGCAUUCAGAUCCAUUGACACUUUUAAGGCUUUUUUAUUUAACAUGAGUUUGAAUUUUUAAGAAGCAGUUGUAAGACAAUUUUUGUACUGCAAUUUGUAUGUAUUUUCUAUCCAGCUAGUGCUUCCUAGAACUUCUACCUGGAUGUGGAUUAUUGAUUUGAUUGUUGUCACUUCGCUACGAAGGAGGUUACACUAAUUUGGUAGGACAAUAAAGAGGAACUUCUCCCUCUUCAUAUAUAUCUCUGCUAUUAAUGAUUUGAUUGUUGUCACUUCGCUACGAAGGAGGUUACACUACUAUGGUAGGACAAUAAAGAGGAACUUCUCCCUCUUCAUAUAUAUAUCUCUGCCCACAAUCACCGGAUUUGGCAUGUCUUGAACUUGUUCUUGAGUCACCAAAGCAUUUCCAUCUUGUUUAUUAACAAUGCUGCCUCGUUUUGUUGUUGUGUCAUACUUUGCCUUUUGUUCUUGCUCUUAUUCACACGCCCAGAACUAAAAGCAUUAAGGUUUAAAGAGUUAACAACUUUUGAGCAGACCAUUGCAUCCAGUAGCUUCCUCUUCUCUGAUGAGAUAAGUGGAGUAGUCGUCACAAUUUGUUUAUGUCCAUAAUUUUCUUCUAUUAUUUCUGUUCGAUCAACAGUAGGCAUAACAUCUGAAUUGUUUGGAUUAAUUUGCUGGUGCACUGUUGGAUUAGCUGGAGUAGUUGUGACCAUUUGUUGCUGUCCUGAUUGGAGAGCUGGUGUUGCUUGUCUAUCACCAGUAGGACUGUCAAGAGUGGUUGUGACCAUUGGUUACUGUGCAGAUUGGAGAGCUGCUGUUGCUUGUCUAUCACCAGUAGGACUGUCAAUUAAAUUAUUUGGAAAUGUUUGCUUGUGCUGCAGGUUAGUUGUAGGUGUUUCUGCAUCCAAGAGUUUUCGUUCCUCAUCUGAAAUAAGUGGUUUGGUAGUCACCAGUUGUUGCUGCCCAAGAUUUGCCCGAUCGUUUGUAGCUUCAUUUCGCGUUACAUUUGCUGCUCCAGCUUGGCUAGAUCCUUGAACCAAACUACUAACUGGUACAAUUGACUUAGCAGCAUUGGACGAGCUUCUGGGAAUGAAUUCUGCAGCAUUUCAGUAUCUUCUUCUCUCAACAAUUGAAGCCCGACUUAAGAGUUUUAAAGUAAGCAAACUAACCAGUUCUAUAAUUACUACUCAUGUUACUUUUGUCCUUCAAUAUGUUCCUAGCACCAACAAAACCCAUGAAUCAGCCUAGCUCCACCAUUAUACCGCCUAAAAACAUUAUUAUUUAAGGUAUAUCAAUCAUUUCAUUCUCCUAGAGUACUGAGCCUAUAUCUGAAUGUUUGUAUUUUGGCACAAGACUCUCAUCUAAUUUACCCGACCUACGUUUUUCUUACAAGGGGCUAAAUUUGAAGUGCAUAUAUUCUAUGUCACUUCUACUUAAUCAUUAGGCCUUUACUCUCUAGAGGGAUUUUUCAUAGUUCUAUCUUUUGGUCGACUGCCUCGCUAAUUUCGUCAAUUAACAUAAAUAUCAUUUGAAAAAUAGAGUAAUUUUCUCAUACGAGUUACAUUAAAGAUACUUUUCUGGUAACAAUAUCCCUAUCAUCCUCUUUCAGAAAUUAGGCUAGCUUUUCUUAGAUAUAUACGUCCCAUUGAAUCUUGAAGACCAUUGAAAUUUAUUGCUUGUUCAGAUGUUUCAUUUACUUUGAAAGAGAAGACAAAUAUCAAGAUCCUUCUUAAACUCCUUUAUUUUGUUUAAAAGAUGACAAACUGAUGACUUUUCACAAUCAAAACUAAUAACACAAAUCCUUGGGUUGCAUAUGAUUCCAGUGUUAUAUGAAAUAUCUAUUUUUUGACUCAUGCUAAUGCCAACACCUCCCCCCCCCCCCCCCCCCNNNNNNNNNNNNNNNNNNNNNNNNNNNNNNNNNNNNNNNNNNNNNNNNNNNNNNNNNNNNNNNNNNNNNNNNNNNNNNNNNNNNNNNNNNNNNNNNNNNNNNNNNNNNNNNNNNNNNNNNNNNNNNNNNNNNNNNNNNNNNNNNNNNNNNNNNNCCCCCCAAAAAAAAAAAAAAAAAACACUCACACACACAUACACAGACAAAAAAAAUACCAAAGGAUAAAAAUGAGAGGAAAAGAUCAGAUCUCUGUAUUCAAGAUGCUUAACAUAGUGCAUGUCUUCUACGUCCGUGUUCUCCAACAGAGACUAAACAAGAAGGAAUGCAGUUUCAACACAGAAUAGAUAUGCUACUACAGCUCUGAGAUUACGUACCAGCUUCUGUUCCAAACUACAUAUCCUAUGAUUUUGCUCUUCCUUAGAAGCUUUCAAUUCUUCCAUUCCUUGAAGCAGUUGUAAUCAAAAUAUAUAGUUGAAGUUAACCAAAAUUCCAUCAACAGUGACAUCAAUUAGCAGAUUCUACAAGAAGAUGAAGUACCUGAACUAUAAUAUCAUGAUAGACAGCCAAGUCAGACGAGCUUUCUUCAUUCUUUUCCUCUCUCAGUGUCUGUGUUUUCUGAAAAGUUUCUUGCCCAAUCUUUACAUCAUUUAUAGCGGCAUUUGUAACUGUGUUAGUGCUCUCCUAUGCACGCCCACUUAUAGAGGCCCCUGAGCGUUCAUCAUGUUGAAUAGCCAAUUAUCUAAUUUCCAUGUGUAUAAGAUCCUUAUCAUGUAAUUCUACUUGAUUAUCUAAUGGUGCAUCCAGCUGCUGAUUACCCACAGUUUGCUUUGUUACAUCACCUCUUGUUCAUCAUCUUUUUGAGUUUGUCCUAGCCUAUUCAAAAAAUUGAACUUCCCAGCUCACUGGAUUUUUAAAGUAUCAACUAUAACUGCACUUGCACGAUUCACAUUAACCAUUUGUUUUACUCCUUCAGAUUGCAAAAACUGUUGAUCAGUCACAAUUUCUUUUGCUGCACCAACUCCUCGCUUACCAGCCUUUUCUGCUAAAUCAUUAAAAAUUUGCCCAACUCUUUUAGCAAUUAAAUAAUCCCUUGCAUCACCUAGUAGUUUUUCCAUACCUGGACCAUUUUCCUCAAGCAAAACAUGAACAGGUGCUGGCCCUGUUACUUACCCUGCCUCCGCCUCUGUUUCUGCUUAUUUGUUCAUGAUUCGACACGCCCUUUCGUCACGUCCUUGAUGCUUGCAAUAAGUGCAGUAUUUACGGAGAUUAUCAUACACUGUUUCUUGAUAGAACACAACAAUUUUACCUGUAAUUCGAUCAAAAAUCUGCAGCUUAACCUUUUUAGGAUGUUUAUCCAAAGGAUCAAUUAUAACCUUAACUCUAGCCGCACUAGGUCUCGUUCUAUCCCAUGUCGCCUUGUCAAUAUUAGUUGUAUAGCACUAAGAACAUUGACGACAAAAAUGACAACCUUCAACUAAUGUCAUGAGACAGUUCUUAGAUUUGUACGUCCAAUAAGUGGAUCAAGCAAGCACUUCAUGAUUCAGAACUAAUGAUGCAGACUCAUGGUAGAUAAAAGAGUUCUUCUCCUGCUUUGUCCAGUCCUAGCACUGCUACUGUUGAUUUAUCAACUGGUUCAAUAGCAGCUCGAUCACCAGAUGUUGUUUUUGUUGACUGUUUUCAAAUCUGUUGACAGCAGCUAGCAUUAGAGCAAAUAAAAUAUGUAUGUUUUUGCAGUUUUUGGUGACUGUUUUCAGCUAAAAUUUUCUGCACUUUGUGGUUAUUCUGCUUGAUGGUUGUUGUUCUGUUAAUAGUAAUAUUUUUUCUGUUUAUGAAUCGUGACGGUGAUGGAAUUUUGAAGAUGUUUUUCCGCAUUGUAUUUUAUCUUCUGAUACAAUUAUUUUAUUAUUUCAAGUGAAAAAUAUCAUAAUGAUGAAAAAUUGCGAAAAUCGUUUGAAGACUAUCAUUCGUUUGGAAUAGUUAUAUAAUAACAUUAGCUAUUUAGUUUAAACAAUAUAAGUUUACUUAUUGUGACAUUAAUAUUUUUGUUUGGUGCUUCCUUUAAUUUGCUAAGAUUUAAUGAGAUAUAUUUUUUUUAAAAUUAAUAUUAAUUUAUUUUCUUAUUUGGAUCAUAUUUUGGAUAAAUGUAGUAACUAUUAUUAAUAGUGGCUACAAUAUUGCUAUUAGCGCUUGUGACUUUCAGCGCUAAUUUAGUUGGAUAUACUAACUACAUAAAUAGACGAUAAAUGGGUAAAUUAAGAUGUUUUACAAGGGAUAUUGCAGUUUUUAUAAUUGCUGUAAAACAAUUACCGUUAGAAAUAUUGACUUUUUACGGCAAUUUAGUUAAUCAUAUUAUCCACUAAAAUGGAAAACUAAUAUAAUUUCAGAAGGGAUACUAUGGUCAAUUUAAUUGCCACAAAAUAAUUGCCGUUAAAGAUGCGAUCAUUUAGCGGUAAUUAUUUUGAAUUUAGCUGCUAUAAAAAUGGAUGCUAAAGGAGUAUAAUUAUUCGAUUUAGUAGCUAUAAAAAAUGGUUGUUAAAGCAGUAUAAUUAGCCAUUAUGGAUUAUAUUUAUUAGCCAUUACAAUUGCCGCAAACAAUUGCCAUUAAAGAUGGUAAUCUGUAGCGGCAAUAAACCAUACCUUUUACCAGCUUUUGUGACAAUAGCCGCUAAAGGCUUUAGCGACCCCAACAUCACCGACUAAACACCAAUGGCCGGUAAAAGCUAUAGCGUAUAUUGUUAUUGCCGCUACAACCGUUUUUAAUUUCCUCUAAACACCCUUUUUAUUGUAGUGCUAGACUAAUUACUCUUAUGGUUUACGGGGUUUAUAUAAGCCUUUGAAUUUCUAAUUUGCAUACCUUUAUAUGUUAUUUUUUUGAUUGACGCUUAGUAUUUUCACCUUUGAAAACUCCAUAUAUGUCCUAUCUUUCUCUCCCCUCUUAAGUUUAGAAGUCCUAAUACCCCGGGACGAAUAGGUUGGGAUAAAUAUUAGCAUGCAAUAAGUAAACGAGACCAAACGCAUUUAAGUACCUUAACGGGGUGGCAAAGGUAGAAUAUGGAGAUGAUGACGAUGCGAUAAUAUCAUAAAGCGACUCCAAUUUGGGAUAUGUGCAGG